rnacentral:rRNA from 1 species
AUUAAAAAUAACAUCAUCCGAUCCCUAGUCGGCAUAGUUUAUGGUUAAGACUACGACGGUAUCUGAUCGUCUUCGAUCCCCUAACUUUCGUUCUUGAUUAAUGAAAACAUCCUUGGCAAAUGCUUUCGCAGUAGUUAGUCUUCAAUAAAUCCAAGAAUUUCACCUCUGACAAUUGAAUACUAAUGCCCCCAACUAUCCCUAUUAAUCAUUACGUCGAUCCUAGAAACCAACAAAAUAAGAUCAAACGUCCUAUUUCAUUAUUCCAUGCUAAUGUAUUCAAGCUAAUGCCUGCUUUAAACACUCUAAUUUUUUCAAAGUAACAGUCCAAAUUCCCCGCAACACCAAAUUAAUGGCAUUACGGUUCAUCAGGAAGGAGGAAUCAGUGAGACCAGUACAUACCAGAGGCAUGACCAACCUACUAACCCCGAAAUUCAACUACGAGCUUUUUAACUGCAACAACUUUAAUAUACGCUAUUGGAGCUGGAAUUACC